AAAAGAGAAAUAUUAGUUUGCUAAUUCUGCACUGUUUAAGAAAACGAAAACUAAGAGAGACGGUACAGUUGAUAGCAUACACUCUGUUAAAAGCAAAGGGAUAUAUAUAAAAUUAACAGAGAAACUUUCACACUUUACAAAGUUUUAGAUGCUGGAAGCACAAUCAACUAGGAACAAUUGAGAUCCAGAGAAUAUAACUUCCUAAUUGCCCUAAAAUAUUCAUCUCAUAUAAAAUCUACUUGUGGGAGUCCAUAAGACUUUUUCCACUUUCUCAAUCUCUCUUGUUGACAUCCCAUACCUUUCUCAGGAUCCACCUGAAAGUCACUUUCCUAAUCCCUUCCAACUACAAAUCUCCUUUAGUUGGUUUCACAGCACUAAUGUACUUCUUUGUAUGACAUUUACCUGAGUAUGUGCCUUCUUAUCCCCAGAAGACUGCGUGACUUCUUUGAGAGCAGACCAUAUAACUAUAUGUAUUUGUAGCUCACCCCAUGAAUGGUGGCUGCUUACUAAAUGUUCCUUGGAUGAAGAAUGAAUGAUAUAGUUUUGUUUUGUCCUAUACUUCUAUAGUGACUCAAACAUUAAAAUGUUCUCAUGUUCUCUUGAGAGUAACUAAUAAAACCAUUCAAUUCUAAUUCAAUAACACCUUAGCUACCUGGCAGAUUUGGAAUGGAUAAGAAAAGAUCACUUUCUGGAUAACUGAAAGUUAAAGACUGUUUAAGUUGGUUUCAUGAGUUAAGCUUCUCCUAAGCUUGGAUAAGCACAAGUUAUUAGAAUAUCAAUCUCUAAAGAAUUGAAACUGAAGGUCAUCUAAAGGCCAAUUGAGAUGAGUAUAAGCAGACUGCAAAACAUUGCCAAAGAAUUAUGUAAGAGAAGUGAUAUGAAAAAUAUCAUGAGGGAAAAGAAUGAUUUAAAAAAAAAGAUGGACUGGUCAGGUAAUGAGUGCAUAGGAACUGAUGAACUAUCAGCAUAAUUGUUUAGUAUGAUACACAAUAUCAACAGCUGAAGAAGAUGAAGCAAAAGACCUGCCUUUAAGUUAGCUAAGUCUCAACUCUGAGAUACCACUACACACCUGUCAGAUUAGCUAGAAUGGCAGGGAAAGAUAAUGCGGAAUGUUGGAGGGGAUGUAGGAAAACAGGGACACUGAUACAUUGUUGGUGGAAUUGUGAACACAUCCAGCCAUUCUGGAGAGCAAUUUGGAACUAUGCUCAAAAAGUUAUCAAACUGUGCAUACCCUUUGAUCCAGCAGUGUUUCUACUGGGCUUAUACCCCAAAGAGAUACUAAAGAAGGGAAAGGGACCUGUAUGUGCCAAAAUGUUUGUGGCAGCCCUGUUUGUAGUGGCUAGAAGCUGGAAAAUGAAAGGAUGUCCAUCAAUUGGAGAAUAAUUGAGUAAAUUGUGGUAUAUGAAUGCUAUGGAAUAUUAUUGUUCUGUAAGGAAUGACCAGCAGGAUGAAUAAAGAGAGGACUGGCGAGACUUACAUGAAUUGAUGCUAAGUGAAAUGAGCAGAACCAGGAGAUCAUUAUAUACCUCAACAACGAUACUGUUUGAGGACGUAUUCUGAUGGAAGUGGAUCUCUUCGAUAAAGAGAGCUUUAAUUGAUCAAAGAUGGACAGAAGCAGCUACACCCAGAGAAAGAACACUGGGAAAUGAAUAUAAACUGCUUGCAUUUUUGUUUUUCUUCCCGGGUUAUUUAUACCUUCUGAAUUCAAUUCUCCCUGUGCAACAAGAAAACUGUUCGGUUCGGCACACAUAUAUUUUUUCUAGGAUAUACUGUAACCCAUUCAACAUGUAAAGGACUGCUUGCCAUCUGGGGGAAGGGGUGGAGGGAGAGAGGGGGAAAAUCGGAACAGAAGUGAAUGCAAGGGAUAAUGCUGUAAAAAAUUACCCUGGCAUGCGUUCUAUCAAUAAAAAGUUAUUAAAAAAAAAAAAAGUUAGCUAAGUCUCUCCCUACAAUUAAUAUGGUGAAGAAUUUUAGGCUCUUUUAAUAUCUUUGGGAAACCAAUGCAGCCUUGGAAUUGUUCACUUAUUAUUUCUCAUGACAAAAAUUGACCAAUUUCUUUUCUCAUAGUCGUGUCUCCUUGAUGAUCUAUUUUUGGCUACUUCUCUUAUGCAUAUGAAUCAUUAACAAUAUAUUUCAGCCUACUUACAUUUAUAUCUGAUUCUUUAGUUAUCUAUGAAUCUAAUUCUUCUGAGACCUUUUACAAUUACACAGCAUUUCUAGGCAAAUAAUGGUUUUUUAAAAAUGCUUUUCAAGGGAAGACCUACAUAAAUCAAUGCAAAGUGAAGUAAACAGAACCAGGAAACCAACGAACACAAUGAUUACAAUACAAACAGCAGGAAAUUAAUUAUGAUAACCAAGAAGCUCCCGAGAAGAAUUGAAGAAAUGCAUUUUUCUUUACUGCAGAGGCAAGGACCCAUGACAUGAAAUGGAAUGCUGCAGGUUUAUUUUGUUUAAUUUUUUUUCUCUUUUUUAAUCUUUCUUACAAGGGAUGACUCAUUUUACUGAGGGGAAAAAAUAAUCCUAAGGUCAUUAAAUGUGAGCCCCCUUCUGUUCUCUUUAGUUCAAAACCUCCUGAUAUCUCGAAUUCUUUUUUCCUUUCCCCUAGUCUCUGACAAAGAGGAAGCCCCUCUCUUUGCCAAAGUCAAGCCCUCCUGUGGUGCAUUUGAUCCCACCUCUCCUACUUUCUAUACCCAAGUUUAAAUCUGACUUCAGACACUUAUUAACUGUGUGUCUCUGAUCAAGUCACUUAACCUCUGUUUAUCUCAGUUUCCUAAAAUGGAAAACAGAGGUAAUGGCACUUCUCAAGGUUGUUGUGAGAAUCAUAAAAAUGAGAUAAUUGUAAAAUACUUAACUCAAUGCCUGCAAUAUAGCAGGUACCUAAGUGUAUGUUUCCUCCCUCCCUUUCUUAAAGCCCUAUACAAUUUGGUUUCAAUCUCUCUUUCCAAUCUUAAUAAAUGUUACUAUCUCUGCUGAAAUUUGUGAUUCAGCCAAACUAGUUUUCCCUCUGUUCCUCAUACAAGGAUCCCAUCUGUCAUCUCUCUGGUUUUGUACUGGCAUUUCCUCAUCCCUAGAAUCUACUCUCCUCCUUACCGAAGAGAUGCCCUCUUACUUUAAGCAAAUUUUUACAGUCGAUAAAUUUUCCAAGAUGCAGCACAUUCUAACACAGGAAUCCGACACACAGCCACUGCCAUUGAGACCAACUUUCCUAGUAAGACCAUGCGGC